rnacentral:misc_RNA from 1 species
GAUGAAGAACGCAGCGAAAUGCGAUAAGUAGUGUGAAUUGCAGAAUUCAGUGAAUCAUCGAAUCUUUGAACGCACAUUGCGCCUCUUGGUAGUCCAUGGGGCAUGCCUGUUCGAGCGUCAUUUGUACCCUCAAGCUUUGCUUGGUGUUGGGUGUUUGUCCCGCGUUGCGCGUGGACUCGCCUUAAAGCGAUUGGCAGCCGGCAUAUUGGCCUUGGAGCGCAGCACAUUUUGCGCUUCUAGUCAUGAAUGUUGGCGUCCAUUAAGCCUAUACAUUUGCUCUUGACCUCGGAUCAGGUAGGGAUACCCGCUGAACUUAAGCAUAUCAAUAAGCGGAGGA